rnacentral:misc_RNA from 1 species
CAACCCUCAGGCCCAGCCUGGUGUUGGGGAUCGGCCGAGCCCUCCGGGGCAGACGCCGUCCCCCAAAUUCAGUGGCGGUCUCGCUGCAGCCUCCAUUGCGUAGUAGCUAACACCUCGCAAUCGGAACGCGGCGCGGCCAUGCCGUAAAACCCCCAACUUCUGAA